UACGUAGGGGGCUAGCGUUGUCCGGAUUUAUUGGGCGUAAAGAGCGUGUAGGCGGCCAGGUAGGUCCGUUGUGAAAACUCGAGGCUCAACCUCGAGACGCCGGUGGAAACCGUAAAGCUAGAGUCCGGAAGAGGAGAGUGGAAUUCCUGGUGUAGCGGUGAAAUGCGCAGAUAUCAGGAGGAACACCCGUGGCGAAAGCGGCUCUCUGGGACGGUACUGACGCUGAGACGCGAAAGCGUGGGGAGCAAACAGG
rnacentral:rRNA from 1 species